rnacentral:rRNA from 1 species
CCGCCGCGCGCGGCGGGCCUACGGGAGGCAGCAGUGGGGAAUAUUGCACAAUGGGGGAAACCCUGAUGCAGCAACGCCGCGUGAGUGAUGACGGUCUUCGGAUUGUAAAACUCUGUCUUCAGGGACGAUAAUGACGGUACCUGAGGAGGAAGCCACGGCUAACUACGUGCCAGCAGCCGCGGUAAUA